rnacentral:rRNA from 1 species
UACGUAGGGCGCAAGCGUUGUCCGGAAUUAUUGGGCGUAAAGAGCUCGUAGGCGGUUUGUCGCGUCUGCUGUGAAAACUCAGGGCUUAACCCUGAGCCUGCAGUGGGUACGGGCAGACUAGAGUGUGGUAGGGGAGAUCGGAAUUCCUGGUGUAGCGGUGGAAUGCGCAGAUAUCGGGAGGAACACCUGUGGCGAAAGCGGCUCACUGGACCACAACUGACGCUGAGGCGCGAAAGCGUGGGGAGCAAACAGG